rnacentral:rRNA from 1 species
ACUCCUACGGGAGGCAGCAGUGGGGAAUAUUGCACAAUGGGCGCAAGCCUGAUGCAGCCAUGCCGCGUGUGUGAAGAAGGCCUUGGGUUGUAAAGCACUUUCAGUCGUGAGGAAGGUAGUGUAGUUAAUAGCUGCAUUAUUUGACGUUAGCGACAGAAGAAGCACCGGCUAACUCCGUGCCAGCAGCCGCGGUAAUACGGAGGGUGCGAGCGUUAAUCGGAAUUACUGGGCGUAAAGCGCAUGCAGGUGGUUUGUUAAGUCAGAUGUGAAAGCCCGGGGCUCAACCUCGGAAUAGCAUUUGAAACUGGCAGACUAGAGUACUGUAGAGGGGGUAGAAUUUCAGGUGUAGCGGUGAAAUGCGUAGAGAUCUGAAGGAAUACCGGUGGCGAAGGCGGCCCCUGGACAGAUACUGACACUCAGAUGCGAAAGCGUGGGAGCAAACAGGAUUAGAUACCCCUGGUAGACUGUCA